CGUCCCUGUGUCGCGUUCGGGCUGCCGGCGGAGUCUAGUGAUUCAGAUUCGUCCUUGAGGGUCGCCGUCCCCUUCCGCGCGUGGGGCCCCCGACCUUCCCGCGGCUUAGCGGGCGGUGUCCGAGCGCGGUCCCGGGGCUCGUCGCAUCUCCGCCAGUACAAGUCCGUUUUGUCCCGGUCAGCAUCAACGGCCCCUGGGCGGGUGUGUACCCGUUUCAAGGCGUGCGUACUCACACAAUUCUGUUUUUUCUUGUGAGCACCUGGAAUGGACAAAAGUGGCAGUUUUGUUACUUCCCAUGAGGUUAUGUAUCUGGAAGGAGAACCAUGAAAUUAACCUAGAGUAGGACAUUUCUAAAGGCAUGGAAUGAAUGGCUUUGGGCAACACCAGGAGGACUUAAAAGGAAUAUUUGAGGGUGCAGAGCUAUAGAAGAGUUUGCCAACAGAAGGAUUUAUGGGAAACAGAGAUAAGAAUCGUCAAUAGAGAAACCGUUUAAAUUUCUUCAAGCCGUGGAAAAACUGAGUCUUGGGUCAAAUUAAGUAAAAUCUAUGCUGAAGAGAAAUCAAAUAAAAUCUCAAAUGGAGAAAAUGUGUUACUGAACACUCAAUGUAAAUUUAGGAAAACAAUCUCAAGGACAAAUCUUUUACUUUUUUUACUAUUGUAAAAUUUUUAUAAAACUUUUGGGCUCAUCUCUAAGAAUUGCCAUGAUGCUGAAACUUGAUAAUAUCCCAAAUAUGGAAGAAUUUAUUAUAAAUAACACUUGAAAAUACACAAAAUGUACACAAGGAAGAAUAUCUGAGAGUGGAAAAGUGCCAAUAACAUACAUUAUUUGUAAACUUAACAGAUUACCUUGGUAAACAUAAUAAACACUCAAGUUAAAGCUUAGUCUUUGGGAAUGCUAUAUUGAAUGCAGUAAAAGUUGGAUUUCAUUCAUAUGGGCAAAAACUUUCUUCUUUGCCUAAAGAUAGUAUACUACUGUUCCUGAAUUCCAACUCUCCAGACAUCUCACUGUCAGGGUGGCUUUAAGUCUUUAUCCAGGUGGACGGACUGCUGCCCAGUGACCACUACAGGCAGAGCAAUAUGAUUACUGCUUUCCUUUCUGGCAGUGAGGAAAAUCAGCUUGUUUCAGGAGAGGAGAAGCCACACUGCAUCUGUUACACAAUAUUAUUCUGUCCUUGCCUUUCAGGCUUUCAUCCUUCCUUCUGAAGCACUACUUUUUAUUGAGAUUUAUCUUAUUUAUCUUAAGUCUGUUCUUGUGAGCAGACCUUUUUUCUCACCUUUUUUCUCCCUUUUGUGUCUUUUCCUAUAUUCAGUUAGGGAGAGUAUGCAGGUAUUCCUGUUAUUCCUGACUGGUGCUACUGUAAAGAGAGAGGAAGAGAACAAGCAGCAUUCAGAAGCAGGGUUCUGAAGAUUGAUCACCCAUGUCUUGCAGUAGCAACAGCUAGACAGGACCUUGGCAGUGGUAACUCUGAGUUCAGACCUUUACCUCUAGACCAGCACUACAUGAGCCUUUAUCCCUUUUAGGGAUAUGUGUACCCUUCAGUAUAAAUGCCUGUGCCUUCUGGAAGUUUGUGCUAGUUUUUGGAGGGGAUGGGUUGUUUUUUUUUUUUCUUUUUUUUUUUUUUUUUCCUAAUUAAGUCAGGCUUCUUUCUUUUUACCUCUAUUGAUUUUUUGAAACCAAAUUCAGUAUGAAUAAGAGAGGGAAAUAUACAACACUGAAUUUGGAGGAGAAAAUGAAGGUUCUAAGUAGGAUUGAAGCUGGAAGAUCUCUUAAAAGUGUAAUGGGUGAAUUUGGAAUCAGUAAGUCAACAUUUUAUGACAUUAAAAAGAAUAAGAAAUUGAUUUUGGACUUUGUACUGAAGCAGGAUGUGCCAUUAAUAGGGGCUGAGAAGAGAAAGAGGACAACAGGAGCCAAAUAUGGCGACGUGGACGAUGCUGUCUACAUGUGGUACCAACAGAAACGCUCCGCUAGUGUCCCUGUGAGAGGUGUGGAGCUUCAAGCUGCUGCCGAGAGAUUCGCACAGUGUUUUGGGUGAACAGACUUCAAAGCUAGCACUGGUGGGCCUUUUAGGUUUCGAAAUAGGCAUGCAAUUGGGAACCGAAAAUUAUGUGCAGAACAAGUCCUAAGUUCAGCUUCAGAAAAUGUUGAGUCAUUUUGACAAAAACUGUCCAUGCUUAUCAAAGAAGAGAAGUUGUGUCUUGCUCAGCUGUACAGUGAGGAUGAGACUGACCUCUUUUGGAAGUCAAUGCCAGAAAAUACUCAGGCAAGCAGAAAAGAUAUUUGCCUGCCAGGGAGGAAAAUAAACAAAGAACAAUUGUCUGCUCUUUUAUGUGCAAACGCAGAUGGUACUCAUAAGUUGAAGUCAAUCAUUAUUGGAAAAUCAAAGCUGCCCAAAAGUGUAAAAGAGGACACAUGUACAUUACCUGUGAUAUACAAACCUAGUAAAGAUGUUUGGU